rnacentral:rRNA from 1 species
CCUACGGGAGGCAGCAGUCGAGAAUCAUUCACAAUGGGGGAAACCCUGAUGGUGCGACGCCGCGUGGAGGAAUGAAGGUCUUCGGAUUGUAAACCCCUGUCAUGUGGGAGCAAAUUAAAAAGAUAGUACCACAAGAGGAAGAGACGGCUAACUCUGUGCCAGCAGCCGCGGUAAUACAGAGGUCUCAAGCGUUGUUCGGAAUCACUGGGCGUAAGGCGUGCGUAGGCUGUUUCGUAAGUCGUGUGUGAAAGGCGCGGGCUCAACCCGCGGACGGCACAUGAUACUGCGAGACUAGAGUAAUGGAGGGGGAACCGGAAUGCUCGGUGUAGCAGUGAAAUGCGUAGAUAUCGAGAGGAACACUCGUGGCGAAGGCGGGUUCCUGGACAUUAACUGACGCUGAGGCACGAAGGCCAGGGGAGCGAAAGGGAUUAGAUACCCCUGUAGUC